rnacentral:tRNA from 1 species
GGGGUUGUAGCUCGGCCGUAGAGCGCUCACCUAGCACGUGUGAGGCCCUGGGUUCAAUCCUCAGCACCA